rnacentral:misc_RNA from 1 species
UUCUUGGGGGCCCGCUCGUGG